rfam:Prunus persica cultivar Lovell chromosome G6, whole genome shotgun sequence.
GGAUGCGAUCAUACCAACUCACAUGCACUGGAACCCAUCAGAACUCCGAAGUUAAGCAAGUUUGGGCGAGAGUAGUACCAGGAUGGGUGACCUCCUGGGAAGUCCUCGUGUUGCAUCCC